rnacentral:rRNA from 1 species
GACGAACGCUGGCGGCGUGCCUAACACAUGCAAGUCAACUUGACUGAAGGAGCAAUCUGACAGUAGAGUGGCGCAAGGGUGCGUAACGCGUAAGUAACUUGCCCAAGGUAAGGAAUAACGUCGAGAAAUCGGCGCUAAUACCUCAUAAUGCAGCGGAUCCGCAUGGAUAUGUUGUUAAAGGUUUACCGCCUUGGGAUAGGCUUGCGUCUGAUUAGUUAGUUGGUGUGGUAACGGCACACCAAGGCUACGAUCAGUAACUGGUCUGAGAGGAUGAUCAGUCACACUGGAACUGAGACACGGUCCAGACUCCUACGGGAGGCAGCAGUGAGGAAUAUUGGGCAAUGCUCGAAAGAGUGACCCAGCAACGCCGCGUGAGGAUGAAGGUAUUCUAUAUCGUAAACUCCUGUGAGAGCAG